rnacentral:lncRNA from 1 species
UAGGAUUUUAUUUAUCAGGGGAGGGGAGUAUGAUUAAAUAUAAGAUGGGAGUGAGUGUAAAAGAACUAUACAUUUCAGUUGUAGUGGAUAAUUAGUGAGCUCAGUAAUAUCUUGUUCAUUCAUGCUCUAUAACAAAGAAAUCAUUUCACAAAUACAUGAACUAUCAAAUGGCGAAAAAUCGUGUUACAAACUACAUAUUCUUCUAAAAUACCAUCUAGAAGAGCUUAGCUCAACUUUAUCUGAUAACACGGAGAGUUGGAGACCCUUCUGAAUUGGAUCAACUCAUACGUGAAUCAAAUAAAUAAUUCUGUUGACUCAUGCAUUCUCUCUUCAAAUAGCAAAAUCUAUCAAAACAAAAAGCAAAGAGCCUAAUCUCUAUACAUUAAACGUUGGGCCCCCUGUUCCUCAUGCGGAAGUUGUCCAAAGUUCGACAAACCAAUACCAGUCUUGGAUCAUCUUGAGGUAUCUCUCGAUCCUGCAAUUCCACAUACAUCAUAGCAGAAGUGAGCAUCAAGAGUUAAUCGGAAGAUAGCUUGAUUAGAUGACAUGUGACUAUUAGAAAACCUUUUCAUUAACAAUUGAACCAAUCAAUUAAGAUAAUAAUCAGGGAACUAGGCCCCUGUUUGGAAGAGUUUUUUUGAGCUUAUCUUAUAGCAUAAG